GCUUAGAGUUUGAUCCUGGCUCAGGAUGAACGCUGGCGGUAUGCCUAACACAUGCAAGUCGAACGGAGUUCUUCGGAACUUAGUGGCGGACGGGUGAGUAACACGUGAGAACCUACCUUCAGAAUGGGGACAACAGUUGGAAACGACUGCUAAUACCCAAUGUGCCGAAAGGUGAAAGAUUUAUCGUCUGAAGAUGGGCUCGCGUCUGAUUAGCUAGAUGGUGGGGUAAGAGCCUACCAUGGCAACGAUCAGUAGCUGGUCUGAGAGGAUGAGCAGCCACACUGGGACUGAGACACGGCCCAGACUCCUACGGGAGGCAGCAGUGGGGAAUUUUCCGCAAUGGGCGAAAGCCUGACGGAGCAAUACCGCGUGAGGGAGGAAGGUCCUUGGAUUGUAAACCUCUUUUAUCAGGGAAGAAGUUCUGACGGUACCUGAUGAAUAAGCAUCGGCUAACUCCGUGCCCGCAGCCGCGGUAAUACGGAGGAUGCAAGCGUUAUCCGGAAUUAUUGGGCGUAAAGCGUCCGUAGGUGGUUAUGCAAGUCUGCCGUUAAAGAAUGGAGCUUAACUCCAUAGGAGCGGUGGAAACUGCAAGACUAGAGUACAGUAGGGGUAGCAGGAAUUCCCAGUGCAGCGGUGAAAUGCGUAGAUAUUGGGAAGAACAUCGGUGGCGAAAGCGUGCUACUGGGCUGAAACUGACACUGAGGGACGAAAGCUAGGGUAGCGAAAGGGAUUAGAUACCCCUGUAGUC
rnacentral:rRNA from 1 species